AGGAGGAUGACCUGCUACGUGUGGCGUGUUGGCUCGGCAUCUUUUGACGAGAGACGGAACCCUAGUUCACAGACGUGGACUAAUGCCCAGAGGAGUGUUCAGAGGAGGAUGACCUGCUACGUGUGGCGUGUUGGCUCGAGUUCAGCAAGAUCAUGCACCUGCGGCAUUUUGCUAGCAGAUAGACAUGGGUGAGGCGCCACACAAGUACUAUCUCUGUCCUGCAAAGUUCAGCCUGCGGCAUCACAUGCAGAUGCAUACAAGCGAGAAGCCAUGAAAGGGCGUCCACCAUGCUACACAGUUCAGCUAGGGCAAGAACCUGCGGCACUUCAAGCAGACACACAUGAACGAGAACUCGUACGCGUGGAGACUCUGCAGUUCUGCUUUCCUCCUCCGCAAACACGUGAUGCGCUCCAUGUACACACAUGGGCGAGAAGCUGUACAAAUCUGACUAUCUUGUUUUGUUCAGUUUAAAUUCUCUCCGUAUCAUUAAUAACAUUGAGGAGAUACA